rnacentral:rRNA from 1 species
UACGAGGGGGGCGAGCGUUAUUCGGAAUCAUUGGGUGUAAAGGGUGCGUAGACGGUAUGCUAAGUCUGUCGUUAAAUCUUUCGGCUUAACCGAAAAUCUGCGAUGGAAACUGGCGUGCUAGAGUGUGAGAGAGAGAAGUGGAAUUCUUGGAGUAGCGGUAAAAUGCGUAGAUCUCAAGAGGAACACCGAUGGCGAAGGCAGCUUCUUGGCUCACUACUGACGUUGAGGCACGAAAGCGUGGGGAGCAAACAGG